UACGUAGGGAGCAAGCGUUGUCCGGAAUUACUGGGUGUAAAGGGAGCGUAGGCGGGAUGGCAAGUUGGGUGUUAAAUCUACCGGCUCAACUGGUAGUCGCACUCAAAACUGCUAUUCUUGAGUGAUGGAGAGGCAGGCGGAAUUCCGUGUGUAGCGGUGAAAUGCGUAGAUAUACGGAGGAACACCAGUGGCGAAGGCGGCCUGCUGGACAUUAACUGACGCUGAGGAGCGAAAGCGUGGGGAGCAAACAGG
rnacentral:rRNA from 1 species